rnacentral:rRNA from 1 species
CAGGCUUAACACAUGCAAGUCGAGGGGCAUCAGGAAGAAAGCUUGCUUUCUUUGCUGGCGACCGGCGCACGGGUGAGUAACACGUAUCCAACCUGCCCUUUACUCGGGGAUAGCCUUUCGAAAGAAAGAUUAAUACCCGAUAGCAUAAUGAUUCCGCAUGGUUUCAUUAUUAAAGGAUUCCGGUAAAGGAUGGGGAUGCGUUCCAUUAGGUUGUUGGUGAGGUAACGGCCCACCAAGCCUUCGAUGGAUAGGGGUUCUGAGAGGAAGGUCCCCCACAUUGGAACUGAGACACGGUCCAAACUCCUACGGGAGGCAGCAGUGAGGAAUAUUGGUCAAUGGGCGCUAGCCUGAACCAGCCAAGUAGCGUGAAGGAUGAAGGCUCUAUGGGUCGUAAACUUCUUUUAUAUAAGAAUAAAGUGCAGUAUGUAUACUGUUUUGUAUGUAUUAUAUGAAUAAGGAUCGGCUAACUCCGCGCCAGCAGCCGCGGUAAUACGGAGGAUCCGAGCGUUAUCCGGAUUUAUUGGGUUUAAAGGGAGCGUAGGUGGACUGGUAAGUCAGUUGUGAAAGUUUGCGGCUCAACCGUAAAAUUGCAGUUGAUACUGUCAGUCUUGAGUACAGUAGAGGUGGGCGGAAUUCGUGGUGUAGCGGUGAAAUGCUUAGAUAUCACGAAGAACUCCGAUUGCGAAGGCAGCUCACUGGACUGCAACUGACACUGAUGCUCGAAAGUGUGGGUAUCAAACAGGAUUAGAUACCCUGGUAGUCCACACAGUAAACGAUGAAUACUCGCUGUUUGCGAUAUACAGUAAGCGGCCAAGCGAAAGCAUUAAGUAUUCCACCUGGGGAGUACGCCGGCAACGGUGAAACUCAAAGGAAUUGACGGGGGCCCGCACAAGCGGAGGAACAUGUGGUUUAAUUCGAUGAUACGCGAGGAACCUUACCCGGGCUUAAAUUGCAGUGGAAUGAUGUGGAAACAUGUCAGUGAGCAAUCACCGCUGUGAAGGUGCUGCAUGGUUGUCGUCAGCUCGUGCCGUGAGGUGUCGGCUUAAGUGCCAUAACGAGCGCAACCCUUAUCUUUAGUUACUAACAGGUUAUGCUGAGGACUCUAGAGAGACUGCCGUCGUAAGAUGUGAGGAAGGUGGGGAUGACGUCAAAUCAGCACGGCCCUUACGUCCGGGGCUACACACGUGUUACAAUGGGGGGUACAGAAGGCAGCUAGCGGGUGACCGUAUGCUAAUCCCAAAAUCCUCUCUCAGUUCGGAUCGAAGUCUGCAACCCGACUUCGUGAAGCUGGAUUCGCUAGUAAUCGCGCAUCAGCCACGGCGCGGUGAAUACGUUCCCGGGCCUUGUACACACCGCCUGUCAAGCCAUGGGAGCCGGGGGUACCUGAAGUACGUAACCGCAAGGAUCGUCCUAGGGUAAAACUGGUGACUGGGGCUA